GGAGGUGGAAGAUAGUGGCUUGAACUGCCCACGUGACCCCUGCAGUUACCAGCACCUACUAAUGGUUGAUCUGUCUCCAAAAUGCACAUUUUCUGCAUUCCCAUUGGACUAAUGACAUUUAGAUGAUUUUUUUUUACUUUGGAAUAUAGCCAUCCAACUUAAAAGUAAAAAGAGACAUUGUACAUUUGAAGACAGUGCUAAUGCCAUUCCCUGCCGCAAGGGAAAGAAGUUGAAUUUGUCAAAGAUGGCUUCUGUUUCCCUUCUCCUCCCCAUUGCUGCUGUGGUUGAUUCCAGUUUCUCUCCCAGCACUGCCCUGCCUGCUCUCAGGUACAUCCACUUCAUUGCAGAGAGUGAUUCAGCUGCCUGACUGAACUGAAUUCCUUCACUCUUCCUUGUUAGUUUCGCAUACAGUCUUA
ensembl:lncRNA